GUGCUCGCUUUGGCAGCACAUAUACUAAAAUUGGAACGAUACAGAGAAGAUUAGCAUGGCCCCUGUUAAAUAUGAUAACUUACAUGCUAGUGAUAUACAGAAAAAAAUCUAU